rnacentral:rRNA from 1 species
CCUACGGGGGGCAGCAAUUAGGAAUCUUGCACAAUGGGGGAAACCCUGAUGCAGCGACGCCGCGUGAGGGAUGACGCAUUUCGGUGUGUAAACCUCUUUUGACAGGGAAGCGGUACCUGUCGAAUAAGCCCCGGCUAACUACGUGCCAGCAGCCGCGGUAAUACGUAGGGGGCGAGCGUUGUCCGAAUUUACUGGGCGUAAAGCGCGCGUAGGCGGCUAUUUAAGUCUGGGGUGAAAGGUUCAAGCUCAACGUGAACAGUGCCUUGGAUACUGGGUGGCUUGAGUCUGGGAGAGGGUAGUGGAAUUCCUGGUGUAGCGGUGAAAUGCGUAGAUAUCAGGAGGAACACCGGUGGCGAAGGCGGCUACCUGGCCUAAACUGACGCUGAGGUGCGAAAGCGUGGGGAGCGAACGGGAUUAGAUACCCUUGUAGUC